UCGAGGAUCUUUCGCAAUGGGCGCAAGCCUGACGAAGCGACGCUGCGUGAGCGAUGAAGGCCUUCGGGUCGUAAAGCUCUUUCGCGCAAGAACAAGGAAAUGACGUGAAUAACGUCGUAACUUGAGGGUACUGCGUAAAGAAGCACCGGCUAACUCCGUGCCAGCAGCUGCGGUAAUACGGAGAGUGCAAGCAUUAAUCGGAAUUAUUGGGCGUAAAGGGCGCGUAGGCGGGAGAGAAAGUCAGAUGUGAAAUUCCGAAGCUCAACUUCGGAGCUGCAUUUGAAACUACUCACCUAGAGGGUUGACGGAGAAAACGGAAUUCCACGUGUAGCGGUGAAAUGCGUAGAUAUGUGGAAGAACACCUGUGGCGAAAGCGGUUUUCUAGUUAACACCUGACGCUGAGGCGCGAGAGCAAGGGGAGCAAACAGGAUUAGAUACCCCUGUAGUCC
rnacentral:rRNA from 1 species